UACGUAGGGUGCAAGCGUUGUCCGGAAUUAUUGGGCGUAAAGAGCUCGUAGGCGGUCUGUCACGUCGGCUGUGAAAACCCGGGGCUCAACCCCGGGCCUGCAGUCGAUACGGGCAGACUAGAGUGCGGUAGGGGAGGCUGGAAUUCCUGGUGUAGCGGUGAAAUGCGCAGAUAUCAGGAGGAACACCGGUGGCGAAGGCGGGUCUCUGGGCCGUAACUGACGCUGAGGAGCGAAAGCGUGGGGAGCGAACAGG
rnacentral:rRNA from 1 species